rnacentral:lncRNA from 10 species
AAGUGAGAGAGGGAGGCAGAAGAGGAAGUCAGAGCGAUGUGCUGUGAAAUCUACUACCGUUUGCUGGUUUUGAAAAUGGAGAAAAAGAGUGAGGAACUGAGAAACAUGGAUGGCCUUGGGAACGUGGAAAAGGGUCACUGAAAUGGGACGACAUGAACUCAAGGAGGCUAUUUAUGACCAUGUCAUUUGCAACAUGAAGAAAGCUUAUCUGGAGUGAAAGUAAAUGAGACCAACAGAGAUGAGAGACCCGGAGAAAUCCUGGUUACACUGCUUGAAUCCUGUCAGUCCUAUACUGGAGUCCUGUUAAUACAAAAUAAUAGUAAUAAUCCCUCUGUUUCUUAUGUUUAUGCCAACUUCAACAAAAAGAAACUUGACUAAGAGACAAUAUAAGAAUUUAAUGUGUAAUUAAGAAAGAACUCUCCACCACGGGGAAUGUGAAAGGUAUAUGAGUCCCUUUUCACGAUGCGAUGUCAUGUCUUUUAAAUAAGCCAUACUUUAUGUUCAAUAAAAAGAGAAUAAGCAGGAUUCGCAAGAGAACACAAUCCCUUUUUAACUGCUGGGAAGAUACUUUUAGUCAUUAAUGACUGGACGACAAUUUGGGACACAUAUAUGGAUAUUGGCCGGUUUGUGAUGAUGUGAUUGGGCCUCUAAGUGACAACAUUGUUCCCUGUAUAGAGUGAGUGGCAAGUGCAUUUAUAAAAUUGGCCAUCAUGGCUGUUAAAUUUAUGAGUCUAGAAGUGUGCCUCUCAAACAAGUAUUUGAGAGGUUAUCAUGAAGAAAAACAAAAUUAAAAUUAUUCUGCUGAGCUCUCAAAGGCAGAACUAUUGAAUCAAAAUUAUAGGAAGGAAGGUUCAAACCAACAAUAAGAAUGCCUCUCUUGCAUUCCUCAUCACUAGAAGUUUCUGAUAAGAUUUUUAGAAAAAUUUAGACAGUAUUCUUGAAUUGAGCAGGGGGAUAACACAGAGAUAAUUCAAAUGUGGUUUGAUGAACUUCUAAAAUGGUUCCAACUAUAAACUUCAAUUAUUCUAGCCUCCAAGACCUACACAUAACUGUGCAAUGUGCAAAUUAUUCAAUAGUAACAUAGAAUUCUGAAUAAUUAGCAUUUUCUCAUGGUUUGAUAUUUGUAUAAAGCAAUCUUAGCAGUCUGAAUAACUAGAAUACUUCAAAGCAAUAUGUUUUAUUGCUUUAUAUUUAAAGAAACCAUGUCAGACAUUUAAAAUGAAUGGCUGCUAUCAGGAAAAUGGAUCUCAAGACACAAGAAAUAAAUCACAAUGACUUCCUUAUUUGUGGAAAUUCUUCUUGUACUAGAAAGGAAAAGUAGAAGUAUGGGAAAAUGUCUUCCAGAAAAUUACAUUUUCCCAAAGUUUAUUUUAAAUUUUAAUAAUUUAAUCAACCAUCUGAUUCUGAUUUCAAGUGUCACAGAAGUUCAUUUUAUUAUAAACAACAACAAAAAAACUUUGUAGUCUUGUAAACACUGGUGACAGAGAAUAACACCACUAACCAUGCUGAGCAGAAAACAGGAGCCAAGUAAGGGAAAAAGAUUCUUUAUGUCACUCAUCAAUUUAAAAGUGUUUUUCACCCCAGGACCAUCCUGAAGCCAAAACUGGGGAAACAUUUACUACUUUUACAAACAAAAAUUUAUAUUCCAUCCCUUGCAUGAUGUGUGUGUCUCCGACAUUUGGUUUCUGUCUUAAGUGUCUAAAGAAAGGCCUUAUUUAGAGCAAAAUACAUUUUUGUGGGCAUUGAUGUGAAUUUCAGGUCUGGGUUAUCAAUGACCUAAAUUGAGAAAAUAGAGGGGCUGUGUGGACAAGGAGAGAGAAGAGAGCAUACAGCUGCCCUAUGCCGUUGCUCUGUUCACAGUAAGGAUUGAGCCAUUCUAAUCCCCUUGGAUUUUUUAUCUACCAAAACAGCUUGGGCCCAUCAGCAAAUUGCAGUGGCAUAUGGUCCAGGUUUACGAGUAAUCUGGCACAUGAUUAAGGCAAGGGGGAUGUCAUCUUUCAGCAAAUACUGAAAAUAUUGUAGAAGAAUUUGGUAGAGUUUUUAAAUUCAAACUGAUAAAAUUGUAACUAUUAAAUACUUCCCCAAAUCAACCACAUACUAACAAAAGGCCACAUGAGGACACAGUGAGAAGCUGGAAGUCUACAACCCAGAAGAGAGCCCUCAACAGAACCUAACCAUGCUGGUACCCUGAUCUCAGACAUCCAGCCUCCAGAAGAGUGAAAAAAUAUAAUUCUUAUUUCUAAGCAA